CCUACGGGUGGCAGCAGUGAGGAAUAUUGGUCAAUGGACGAGAGUCUGAACCAGCCAAGUAGCGUGAAGGAUGACUGCCCUAUGGGUUGUAAACUUCUUUUAUAGGGGAAGAAAACAGGGUAUGCAUACCCUCUUGUAUGUACCAUAUGAAUAAGGAUCGGCUAACUCCGUGCCAGCAGCCGCGGUAAUACGGAGGAUCCGAGCGUUAUCCGGCUUUAUUGGGUUUCAAGGGAGCGUAGGUGGCUUGUUAAGUCAGUUGUGAAAGUUUGCGGCUCAACCGUAAAAUUGCAGUUGAAACUGGCAGUCUUGUGUACAGUAGCGGUGGGCGGACUUCGUGGUGUAGCGGUG
rnacentral:rRNA from 1 species